rnacentral:lncRNA from 1 species
AUUAAAGGGACGACAUCUUAAAACUAGGAUGUGUGUAAAUAUUUAUUUUAAUUAAUGACCGAAAUUGGACUGUACUGACUGGUAAUGUCUCGUAACCCUGUUCCGAUGACGGUAUAGGAUUAGGGGGCGUUACAUUUAGUGGUAUCAGAGCUAUUCAGGUUUAGCCGAUUCUCGGACUAAAUCGAACUCGGAAUUGAGUCUAGGGGUACAUGCCAUAAUUGAGUCGAAAUUGAGUCGGG